UACGUAGGUGGCGAGCGUUGUCCGGAUUUAUUGGGUUUAAAGGGUGCGUAGGCGGCUUUGUAAGUCAGUGGUGAAAUACUCCAGUUUAACUGGAGGGGUGCCAUUGAUACUGCGGAGCUUGAGUACAGAUGAGGUAGGCGGAAUUGACGGUGUAGCGGUGAAAUGCGCAGAUAUCAGGAAGAACACCCGUGGCGAAGGCGGCUCUCUGGGACAGUACUGACGCUGAGACGCGAAAGCGUGGGGAGCGAACAGG
rnacentral:rRNA from 1 species